UGAUUUUAUCUUGGAGAAAGAAAUAAAUGGUUCAGAUUCCACCUCUCUCUUCUCUCAGAGGCCCAGCUCCACAGCUCCUGUGCUCUUCACCUCUCUCUUCUCUCGACUUUGCCCGCCUCAGCUUGUCAAAACGGCAAAACCUAAACUGCAGUCGCCAUCUCUCCUCUCUCUCUCUCUCUAGUCUCUCCGGCACGGGCCCUCUCCCUCUCAGCCUCUCUCCUCGGCCGUCGAUGGCCCUCGCUCUCCUCAACGGUGACUCCGGUGACGUUUAAAUUGAGAUGGGUUCGUGAAGCGGCUCCCUCCAACUAGUUCGCAAGAAGGAGCUCUCCGACUACCAGUAUAGUCCUUUUAAUCCUCACUAUGUUGAAGACGUUAAUGGCUUUAGUGGUGAGGAGGAGGAGCUCUCGGGUUCAAGAGGUGGGCCCGUCUACAUUGAGAUCAGUCUGAGUGGUCCUCUCACCAGUGUCGGUCUCUUCCAGUCUUCUAUUCUCCAAGAGCUUCAGGUUCAUCGCAACUUAUUCAAAGAGGUAGAUUGGGGCCUAUAUAUAUAUAUAUAUAUCAUUCAGCAAAUUAGAGAGCAUAUUUGAGUAUGAUGAACGUUUCAAAGUAGUUGAAAGAGAUAGAGACCGCAGGAUUAUUUUGAUAGCUAUUUGGAGGAACUUCAGAAGAAAAUAUCAUAGAUCAACAUGUUCGUAAAGGAACUAAUCUAUAGCCAGUCCCUGACAAGGAGCACUCAUGCUGAAGGUUCGUAAUAAAGGUUAGAUACCAGCUUUUAUGAGGUUUUAGAGCCUUCUUCAGUGUACAAUCAAAGACAAAUGACACUUAAAAGAAAGAGUACAGGGAAGCAAAAUGAUGUACCAUUUAGUUGCCCUUUUUCUGUAUUGCAAUAUUGAAAUCGAUGUUAUAUAUGGUACUUAAUGAGUUUGCUCUAUUUGUGUUUUCAGAUUUGGUCAAUAACCUUGGUGCCAUUGCAAGGUCUAGCACCAAGGAAUUCAUGGAAGUCUAGGCUGCUGGAGCUGAUGUUAGCAUGACUGGUCAGUUUGGUGUCGGGUUCUACUUUGGAUAUCUUGUUGCUGAGAAGGAAGAGGAAGGAAAGGUAUAGAGUUCGGAAGUUGAUGAAGACGUACAAGGAAGUGGACUAGUACAAUAUGUUUCUGGCCUUGAUGUUUUUGGGCUUUAUGUUUAGGUAGGGUUAGUAUGUUAAUGUUGGGGUGAUGAUGGAAUGAAUUGGUUUUGAAUGUUUAAUCAAUGGAUAUGUUUUUGACUGUUGGUCAAUUGGUUUUGGUUAAA